AUUCCAGCUCCAAUAGCGUAUAUUUAAGUUGUUGCAGUUAAAAAGCUCGUAGUUGGAUUUCGGUUAAGAGCGACCGGUCCGCCGUUUGGUGUGCACUGGUUGGUUUUAACUUCCUGUAGAGGACGUGCUCUGGGCUUAACGGUCUGGACUCGGAGUCUACGUGGUUACUUUGAAAAAAUUAGAGUGUUCAAAGCGGGCUUACGCUUGAAUAUUUCAGCAUGGAAUAACACUAUAGGACUCCUGUCCUAUUUCGUUGGUCUCGGGACGGGAGUAAUGAUUAAGAGGAACAGUUGGGGGCAUUCGUAUUUCAUUGUCAGAGGUGAAAUUCUUGGAUUUAUGAAAGACGAACUUCUGCGAAAGCAUUUGCCAAGGAUGUUUUCAUUA
rnacentral:rRNA from 1 species